rnacentral:rRNA from 1 species
UACGAAGGUUGCAAGCGUUACUCGGAAUUACUAGGCGUAAAGGGCAGGUAGGUGGUUUGAUAAGUCUAUUGUGAAAGCUCCCGGCUUAACUGGGAGAGGCCAAUGGAUACUGUUAGGCUUGAGUAUAGGAGAGGUGACUGGAAUUCCCGGUGUAGCGGUGAAAUGCGCAGAUAUCGGGAGGAACACCAAUGGCGAAAGCAGGUAACUGGACUAUUACUGACACUCAACUGCGAAAGCUAGGGGAGCAAACAGG